rnacentral:lncRNA from 1 species
CACCAACGUCUACCCUCCCCCAUGAAUCCAUAAAAACAACCUACGGAGGACAAGGCAAACCAUCUUUAUUCAAGAUUCUAACAAAUGAAGAUGGGGGUCUUUAAACUCAAACAGAGUCACUCAUCUCCAUAUGUGAAAUCCCGUCCCCGGAUUUCACUACUUAAAUUACGUAUUUUCGUAUUAUUGAUUUCAAGAUUUAUUUUUUUAGAAUUUUAUAUAUAGUUGGCAACCAUGCAUAAAUAUAUAAUAUCCUUUUUUUUUAUAUGGGAGUGGAGAAAUUAUUUAGGAAGAAAGAAAAAGAGAAAGAAAAAAAAAGGAUGGGGGGAGGAUGGCUACCUAAUGGCAGCGAAGGAGAGGGGGAGAAAAAAAAAAGAAAGAAGAAGAAGGGCUACUGCCCAAUCAGAAAGAGGAGGGAAGUGAGGGACCAACCAGAGAAGAGAGCAAGGAGGGAAUGGAGGGAGGAAGAGAGGAAGGGGAUCGGCCGGAUCCCACUUGACCCGUGCUAACCAGGUUCGAAACCGGUGAAAUUCCGGCGGUUGUGAGCCAUUUUUCAUGCAAAUUUCAUUCCAUUUCCACUAGCAAUCAUCACUAUACCUCUUCCCCUCCAUUUUCCUAUUAAUAUUCAAUGGAAAUUGGGUUAAAUCCGUGACAUUUGGCAAUGGUGACACCGGCGGGUCUUGUGUCAAUUCUCCCAUUUCUGAAGCAAUUCCUUCUAAUUGCCACCAUCAAUACACUCUCCUAGAACCCAGGAACAAAGCCCAAGCAGUGGUGGAGUCGUCAGAGCAAGUUUGGAGGUCGAAUCGAAUCACACCCAAUUUUAGGGUUCGUGCGGUUUUAGCAAAAUUGGAGCCUUUCUAGGAAAAAUUGGACUUGGCCACAGGUAUAAAAAUUUCUCUACUCAUUGAGAUCUUCAUUUCUGUAAAUUUUGGUAAUUUUUAAAAAUGGUUGAAUUUUUCCUGCAAGUCGGGGCGGCCGACCGCCACCCGCAGCGGCGCGUUUGGCCGCGGCUUGGCCAGUGGGCCGACAGUAUCCUUUUAAGUUCAAUUAGAUACCCUGUUUUCAUAAUUGAUAUCCUUAUGAUAUGGUUUGAUUGUGUGAACCUAAUUUCAUUAUGAUAUGUGGUUAGGUCAAAAUAUGAUUCGACGAUCCGACCGUUGGAUCGUCACCAAACCUUAAUACGUGAUAAAACAUAAUAUUUUUGGAUCAUAGAAACUUACGGAUCAGGAAUCCGACGUAUGGAUCUUUCCGAAUUAGAUUUGUAACUUCGUAAAAUAAAAUGUCCACCACCACUUGAAUUUUGAAAUUGGCAUAGAUCCGACCAUCAUAUCGCGUUGAGAUUUUAGUAUGUUGUUAUUUGAGCAUAAUGUGGACUUUGGAAAGUUACGGAUUGGAAAUCCGAGGUGCGGAUCUUUCGAAUCAAAUUACGUAAGUUUGUGGACCCUACUGUUGAUCGAGAGUUGACUUUUAGGCAACAUGUCAUGAAACGUCCUAAUUAAUAAAAUUAGUACUACGGAAUAUUAAGUGAAGUCUAGUGAGGCUACAUUGGUUAGAGCAUGACUUGUGUAUAUGUGAUAUAGCUAUUACCUUGAUUCUUAUAUUAGUAUCAUAUGUGAUUAUGUCUUGGUCUUAUAAAGGUAAUUUCUAGUGAAAUGUGAUUUUUAUAUAUUUAGCCGUAGACAUAUGUUUAUUUACAUGAUUUGGCUUGGUACUGAUGAUGGUUGUGACAUAUGUGAGUGACUUUAAUAUAGGUGAUAUUGGUGAUUACCUAUGUUUUCAUAAUUAUGAUCCUGUGUGGAUAUGAAUUGGUUUUAUGAAUAUGUUUUCUAUUGAAUUGUUAUUUCCAAUACUUAGACAUCGAUUUAUGUUUAUGAAAUGGGGUUUGGCAUGUAUAUUUGAAAUAUGGUUUGACUUGUAUGAUUGGCAUGUUGUGAUGAAAGGUAAGGACUAGUAAUGGACCGUUAACCAUUGUGAUGGAGAUUUGUUGCUUCGAUAUUGUUUCAUUUCCUGCUUUGUUGAUUAGUUCUAAAUUUAGUAUUUGUGCUUAAUUUCCCUUUGUUGAGCUUUUGUGAAUUAAGUAAUUUGUGCUUGUCUUAUUUCUUUGAGCCGUCGUACAUUAUGGUUGUUGGCCUUUCGCGAUUCUGUUGAGUGAUGGUCCCGGAUCGUAUUCACCUUGUGUUUUAUUGAGUUUGGAUUAAGAUAGCUUCAGAGAUGUAGGCUUCGGCCGAACUGUGUCGCUCUAGCUCGGCAUUCCAAUGAAUUGUAUGUGUUAUUGAUGAUAUGGUGAUUGGCAUUAUUGAUUGAUGUGAUAAUUGGAUGGUGUUGGAAUGCAUAUGUGAGGAUGAAUGACGUUAUGACUAGAGAUUAUUAUUGUGCUUAUUUAAAUGUUCCUUGAGGUGCCGCAUAAUUGAAUUGUGGUGUUAUGUUGAGACCUAGUGGUCUAUGUGAUGAAUGUUCGAGAAUAGUGAAAUGUUGAACUACGAAUGGCUUGAUCCCUAAUGAGGGUACGUAGGCAGUCUAACGAAGAGGUUAGAUGCAGCCAUAAAGUAUACGAAAAAUUAUUGUACAUCUGGAUCUUGAAUGAUACUUUGUAUAUAUUCAGGAGGCGGAGUAUGUUAGAUAUACGGGUUUGGUGUCGUCACGUGUCGAUCCUGGACGUAUGUCUGGAUCGGGGCGUGACACCGUAGACCAAAACGACGCAACAAAAUCCACUGCCUGAUUCCCUGAUCUUGGAACCCAAGACCAGUUGCAAAGGGGUAAUGAAUAACUGAUAUCCAUUAUCCGAGACAAAGCAGAUUCCUUUACACCAAAUUUUCUUGGAAGAAUAUGUGAAAACACAUAAAACAUAAUUUUCUUAUCCCUAUUGUUGUAGUGUGGCUACCUCCACCGUGAAUCAUGCACUGGAGUCUUUUUUGUCUUUUUGGCGUGAAUUAAUUUCAAUGUGUGUUUUAUUAAUGUUUUUGGAUAAAUAAAUUUUAAAUGUAAAGUAAUGCAUUUGAUAUUUUAGACAUUGGAUGCUAUUAGAUAAUUUUUGAAUUUACUAUGAUAUGAUACGGUGAUACUAAAAAUUAGGCAUAAAAAUUAUGUAUCGAAGGAGAGAGGAUACUCGAUGGAUCCUCUUUGUCAUGACCCGAGGAUUUUCCAAUUACAUCUGUUCAUCAGGCUUUGUGCGGUCAGUUUUUGUUUGGUACUGUUUAUAUUCAAUUUUAAUUAAAAAAUUUAUAAUAAUUUCUGAUCGCAUGAUAUACGAUGAACCAAUGUAAUUUGAAGAUCCCCAUAAUUCUCACAAAGAGGAUACGGCGAGGAUCCUCACUCGUAUCAAAAAGUUAUUUUAAAUAUGUUGCAACUGAAAUUAUCAAGAGAAGACGAGGGAAUUACGGUCGGACACGCUCGUGGGCCUUAGGCCUAUACAUUCCCAACUAACACCAGUUUCAUUGUCCAUUUUAGCCUACUCCACUAAGUUAUAAUCUGAACAUCUCUUUGACCGAGUAUGCAAGUGUUGUUAGGUAGGCAAGUGUACACUUAGCCGGGUACUUUGACCCAGUGCCCAACAUUUCUUAGGCCUUGUUUGGCAGAUAUUAUAAAGGAUCGGAUAGGACUAGUUAUACAAAUGCAGGUGUUUGGCGUUCACUCGUACUAAAUAAGCGGCAGAUUAAAUUAACCGAUCUGCUUAUUUAAUACGGUAUACGCUGGACUAAUAAAACCAAUCAAAAGGCUCGGAUUAUUAGUCAGCCCUCUCUCUCUCUUGCCUUCUCUCGACGUCGUUGUACUCCCUGUCACAUUCUCUCACCAUCGCCAUCCUCCCCAUCGCUUUCUAUCGCCGUCGCUUUCUCUCGCCAUCUCUACUCUCCUAGUCCUUGUUGCCUUCCUCGUCGUCCUCUCCUUGUGGCCUUCCUCAUCGCCUACUUGCCGUCCUCCCCUGCAACUGGGUCUUGCAAAGAAGCAUGGUGCGGCGGAGAGAUGAUUUCAAUUUGAGAUUCUUCUACAGUCGGGGAAGAAGAAGAAGGGGGAGAGAGGGAGGGAGUUUGAGGGGUGCGGCGGAGAGAACUGGGAACAAAAGUGAUGGAUUCAUUUUUUUUUUUUUAGUUUAAUUUUUUUUUUAAGUUUGAUUCCUCUUAUCCGGUAUAAAACCAAACAUAGUAUAAAUAAUACAGUUAUUAGUUCGAUACUGCACUAAACGUCCAACUAAUUUAAUCAGUUCUAUCAGGUGACUAUUAAUCAUAUUCGACAAAAAUAAUCAGUACAGUCUGAACUGCCAAAUGAGACCUUAGCGUUUCCUUCGGUAAAUAAAACCAAAGUACGAAGAUUCUUUUUACUCCGAAAUUUCUUGGAAGAAUAUGUGAAAGCACCUAAAGCAUAAUUUUCUUUUGUCUUUUUGCGUAAUGAUAUAUUUGAAAACGAGUGUAGGUGCGCGUUUUAGCACGCUCACUAAGAAACUUCACGUGAUUAAGAUCAGAAACUUUUGGUAAAGGCUCCACACAUUCCAUUUUACUUCUCACACACUCUCUGUUAAUUUAUAUCUAUUGAUUUUCUUCACAUUUUCUUCGAUCCAACGGUCAAAAAUUAAAAGACGUAUGAAAAGUAAAAUGGAAUGUGACUUUUCGGUAAAUUAUCAACAAUUCAGUGUGCAUUUUGGCACACUCCACUAAGGUUGGGUUUGGGAGUGAGGUGCUUAAAAAAAAAACAUCCAUGAAAAAAAGCUGUGAGGAUUUUAGGUGUUUGGUAAACUGAAAAAAAAAUGGCUUAUUUUGGAAGCUGCUGUGAGAAUAAACUGAAAUCGAAGGAAAAAGCUGAAGCUGCUAUUUGCAGCUUUGGAAAACUGAUUUUUUUUCAAAGCACACGGAGCUACAGUGCUCCUUUAAUGAAAAAACUCACUAUCAGACUGCUUUUUUUUCCAAAAUCACUUUUACAAAAAAGUUUACCAAACACUCUGCUGAUUUAUUUCACAGCUGCUUAUUCUCAUAGCAUAGUCGCUUAUUCUCACAACAGUUUUUUUUCAAAGCACAGUAAUACCAAACCAGCCUAAGUCCAAUCUGAGUAUCUCUUUGACCGAGACAGCUCUUUCUUGGAAGAAGAUGUGAAAAUAUAUAACUUUCUUUUGUUCUUUUUGCGCAAUCAUAAAUUUAAAAAAUGAGUGAACUAAUUUGCUUUGACUCAUUGACUUGGUAUAGAUCAGGUCAUUUUCUAGUGAUCCAGUUUGUAGAUCAAUUGAGUAUUUCUGCUCUUGCAUUCCUCUUAAUCUUAGCUGCUCGAUCAUCGCUGAUCAGGUGCGAACGAUUAAUGGCUGCUUCUUCUUCUUCUGACGUUCGUUGGAAAUACGAUGUGUUCAUCAAUUUCAGAGGGGAAGACACUCACAACGGCUUCAUCAGCCAUCUCUACAGAUGGAACGUAUCAUUCAUUUUGUUGUAUUGAUGUCUUGAAGUCUGAUUGUUGUGGUCGUAUUAUGUUGGGUGCAGGUCAGGAAAAUGCAGCUAAUGUGAGCAUAACGGUGUUGAAAUCACUGCCUGAUUUACAAGAAAAAGAAUCAAGGAAUACAAGAUUUGGCGGUGGUGGAAGGUUAGGCGGUGGUCGUGGAGGAGGUUUUCGAAAUGAUAGGUAUUCCAACAACCGAUCUGCUGGUGGUAGUGGUGGUGGGAGAGGUCGCGCCAACAGAUGGUGACGCGCGAUAUAAACCGGCUCCUUUCAAGUAAGCUGUUGUGGGCAACAAAUAAUAUCAAAAGGUUGCAUUCACAGUGGUUUCAACUGGUGUAGUGUAGGUACUAAACGCCAGUUGAUCUUAGUGUAGGUACUAAAAGCUAUUGUGGGCCCCGUUUGGCUCGUUAUAACGAUAUCAUUUUUUAUGCGUAUAGCGUAUUCCGCCGACCCUUUUCUCUACUUUAUUGUUCAAUUUUGUUCAGUUUUGUUUUUCUGUUUUCUUUAUGCCCUUAAUAGUGUAAGAGCACUUAUUUGGAGUGUAAGAACACCAUCUAAUUUUUGUAACUU